rnacentral:rRNA from 1 species
AUUGAACGCUGGCGGCAGGCCUAACACAUGCAAGUCGAACGGUAACAGGAAGCAGCUUGCUGCUUUGCUGACGAGUGGCGGACGGGUGAGUAAUGUCUGGGAAACUGCCUGAUGGAGGGGGAUAACUACUGGAAACGGUAGCUAAUACCGCAUAACGUCGCAAGACCAAAGAGGGGGACCUUCGGGCCUCUUGCCAUCGGAUGUGCCCAGAUGGGAUUAGCUAGUAGGUGGGGUAACGGCUCACCUAGGCGACGAUCCCUAGCUGGUCUGAGAGGAUGACCAGCCACACUGGAACUGAGACACGGUCCAGACUCCUACGGGAGGCAGCAGUGGGGAAUAUUGCACAAUGGGCGCAAGCCUGAUGCAGCCAUGCCGCGUGUAUGAAGAAGGCCUUCGGGUUGUAAAGUACUUUCAGCGGGGAGGAAGGCGAUAAGGUUAAUAACCUUGUCGAUUGACGUUACCCCGCAGAAGAAGCACCG